UACGUAGGGGGCAAGCGUUGUCCGGAAUUAUUGGGCGUAAAGAGCGUGUAGGCGGUCCGGUAAGUCGGCUGUGAAAGUCCAGGGCUCAACCCUGGGAUGCCGGUCGAUACUGCCGGACUAGAGUUCGGAAGAGGCGAGUGGAAUUCCCGGUGUAGCGGUGAAAUGCGCAGAUAUCAAGAGGAACACCUGAGGUGAAGACGGGUUGCUGGGCUGACACUGACGCUGAGGCGCGAAAGCCAGGGGAGCAAACGGG
rnacentral:rRNA from 1 species